rnacentral:rRNA from 1 species
CGAACCGACUUACGUUGAAAAGUGAGCGGAUGAACUGAGGGUAGCGGAGAAAUUCCAAUCGAACCUGGAGAUAGCUGGUUCUCUCCGAAAUAGCUUUAGGGCUAGCCUCAAGUGAUGAUUAUUGGAGGUAGAGCACUGUUUGGACGAGGGGCCCCUCUCGGGUUACCGAAUUCAGACAAACUCCGAAUGCCAAUUAAUUUAACUUGGGAGUCAGAACAUGGGUGAUAAGGUCCGUGUUCGAAAGGGAAACAGCCCAGACCACCAGCUAAGGUCCCAAAAUAUAUGUUAAGUGGAAAAGGAUGUGGCGUUGCCCAGACAACUAGGAUGUUGGCUUAGAAGCAGCCAUCAUUUAAAGAGUGCGUAAUAGCUCACUAGUCGAGUGACACUGCGCCGAAAAUGUACCGGGGCUAAACAUAUUACCGAAGCUGUGGAUUGUCCUUUGGACAAUGGUAGGAGAGCGUUCUAAGGGCGUUGAAGCAUGAUCGUAAGGACAUGUGGAGCGCUUAGAAGUGAGAAUGCCGGUGUGAGUAGCGAAAGACGGGUGAGAAUCCCGUCCACCGAUUGACUAAGGUUUCCAGAGGAAGGCUCGUCCGCUCUGGGUUAGUCGGGUCCUAAGCUGAGGCCGACAGGCGUAGGCGAUGGAUAACAGGUUGAUAUUCCUGUACCACCUAUAAUCGUUUUAAUCGA